UUUGUUUAGAAUUUGGUUAAAGUUUGUUUAGGAUUUGAUUAAGAUUUGAUUAGGAUUUAUUUAGGAUUUAAUUAGGAUUUAUUUAGGAUUUGCUUAGGAUUUAAUUAGGAUUUGAUUAGGAUUUAAUUAAGAUUUGUAAGGAUUUUAUUAGGAUUUAUUUAGGAUUUGAUUAAGAUUUGAGUAGUAUUUGUUUAGAAUUCGAUUAAGAUUUAUUUGAAAUAUGAUUAGGAUUUGACUAGGAUUUGACUAAGAUUGCCUCAGAUUUGGUUAGAACUUAUUUAGGGUUUGUUUAGAAUUUAAUUAAGAUUUUAUUAAGGUUUAUUUAGAAUUUUUUUGGAUUUUGAUUAAAAUUUGAUUAGAGUUUGAUUAAGAUUUGGUUAGGAUUUAAUUAGGAUUUAUCUUGAAUUUAUUUAAAAUAUGAUUAGGGCUUAUUUAGGAUUUUUUUAGAUAAUUACUAGGAUUUUAUUAGGAUUUGUUUAAGAUUUGUCUAAAAUUUGGUUAGGACCAUUUAAGGUUUGACUAAGGUUUGACUAAGGUUUGAUUAGAGUUUGACCAAGGUUUGAUUAAGUUUUAACUAAGAUAUAAUUUACAUGUUAUUUUAAUAUUUUAUUAAGAUUCUUAUUUUAGCAUAUUUUUUUUGAAUUUCUAUGUUAUUUCUUUAUGAAUUCUUAAAAAGAUUUCUAAAAAUUCUUUAUAUUUCUUA
rnacentral:lncRNA from 1 species